UCAGCAGCAUCACCCCCUCCCCUCUGCAUCUAGUCUGGCCUGAGUCGUGUGGACUGGUCUGACAGUUUUACUCUUCACCCACUUCCACGCUCCCAGCCACAGCCUCCAUCAGGCCUGCCUCUCCGGCUUGACUUUUCACCAGAGCCUCCUGACUGGUCUUCCUGCCUCCAGCCUCAAGCUGAGAUCUGACCCCAGCCACAGAGUGAACCCUACCACCCCCGACCCUAAGCCCGGCACAGUCUUUGGUAGUCUGGACUUUGACUGAGUUCUGACUCCUGCACCACCGGAGACUGGGCUCAGCCCUUGCCAGGUGUCUCCAAAUGCCCCUGUAUCCUAGUGCCUGAGCCAGAACUGGCACUCGAAUCAUACCUGUUAGAUGAAUGAGUCAUGGGGAGGACGCAGUCCGCUGUGCUCAGCUGCACUACGGGAGACUGCGUGUCUAAAGGCCAUGCUACUGACCUACCUGCCAGAUGGCGCCCUGCCCUGGGGAAGGGUCCCAGAUCCUGAACUGGUUAUAGAACACCGGACCUUGGGCAACUCAGAUUCUCUUCUUGCUCAGCUGCCCCUGUUCAGUAAGAUGGGAAAGAGCAGAGCAGCUAGUCUCCUUCCAGAAACAGCUUGCAUUCUUCUAUAAAGAAGAGAUUUCUUCAACUGGGGUUGAAUUACACAUCCUUCUAAAGAGGCAGGCUCUGCCAGCUGCCACCUGGGAACCAGGAUGUGAAUCCAGGAAUCUGCCUCGGAGCUCUUUUGUCAACACUCCUGUCCUGCUGCAGGCGUUGGUCUCAGCUCUGCGAGACCUUGCCCUGUAACCUCGGCCAGUUCUCCCCUCUCUCAGCUGCACUUUCUCUAUUUACACUUUAAAAACAAACAAACACCCCACAAGUGGUUGUCAUUUAGUGACAGAAGCAAAGUGAGAGAGGAAGCAAAGGU